GAUGAACGCUGGCGGCGUGCCUAAUACAUGCAAGUCGAGCGAAGCGGGGACGGGUGAGUAACACGUGGAUAACCUCCUAUAAGACUGGGAUAACUUCGGGAAACCGGAGCUAAACCGGAUACGUAUAGAUGGAUCCGCGCUGCAUUAGCUAGUUGGUAAGGUAACGGCUUACCAAGGCAACGAUGCAUAGCCGACCUGAGAGGGUGAUCGGCCACCCUGGAACUGUGACACGGUCCAACUUCCUACGGCAGGCAGCAUUAGGGAAUCUUCCGCAAUGUGCGAAAGCCUGCCGGGGAAACGCCGCGUUAGUGAUGAAGGUCUUCGGAUCGUAAAACUCUGUUAUUAGGGAAGCGGUACCUAAUCAGAAAGCCACGGCUAACUACGUGCCAGCAGCCGCGGUAAUUC
rnacentral:rRNA from 1 species